GCAUCGGCUACUCUGUGCCAGCAGCCGCGGUAAGACAGGGGAUGCAAGCGUUAUCCGGAAUGAUUGGGCGUAAAGCGUCUGUAGGUGGCUCCUUAAGUCCGCUGUCAAAUCCCGGGGCUCAACCCCGGACAGGCGGUGGAAACUACUGAGCUAGAGUACGGUAGGGGCAGAGGGAAUUCCCGGUGAAGCGGUGAAAUGCGUAGAGAUCGGAAAGAACACCUAUGGUGAAGGCGCUCUGCUGGGCCAAAACUGACACUGUGCGACGAAAGCUAGGGGAGUGAAAGGGACUAAAUACACAUGGUGUCCUAGCCGUGAACGAUGGAUAAUAGUGUAGCAUGUAUAGACCCUACCUGUACCGAAGCUAAACGCGGUAAGUUUUCCACUAGUGAGUACGCACGCAAGUGUGACACCAGGAAUUGACGGGGGCCCGACAAUCGCUGGUGUGUCUGGUUAUCCUACGUUACGCGAAGAACCUUACCAAGGCUUGACAUGUCCGGUCUCUUGGUGAAAGCCGAGAGGUUCUUCGGGAACGCGAAGACAGGUGGUGCAUGGCUGUCGUCAGCUCGUGUCGUGAGAUGUUGGGUUAAGUCCCGCAACGAGCGCAGGGCUCGUCCUUAGUUGCCAUCAUUUAGUUGGGCACUUUAGGGAGACUGCCGGUGACCAACCGGAGGAAGGUGGGGAUGACGUCAAAUCAUAGUGCCCCUUACGUCCUGGGCUACACACGUACUACAAUGCUACGGACAGAGGGCAGCCAGCCAGUGAGGGCAAGCGAAUCCCAUAAACCGUGCCUCAGUUCAGAUUGCAGGCUGCAACUCGCCUGCAUGAAGGCGGAAUCGCUAGUAAUCGAAGGUCAGCAUACUGCGGUGAAUCCGUUCCCGGGCCUUGUACACACCGCCCGUCACACCAUGGGAGUUGGCCACGCCCGAAGUCGUU
rnacentral:rRNA from 1 species